GCCUUGCUAGCUCAAUGGUAGAGCAUCAGACUCUUACAGUCCCUCUGACCCAGCAAGAGUCUGGAGGCUGUGGGUUCGAUCCCUGUGAGAGGCA